UACAGAGGGUGCAAGCGUUGUUCGGAAUUAUUGGGCGUAAAGGGUGCGUAGGCGGUGCGGUAAGUCUCUUGUGAAAUCUCCAGGCUCAACCUGGAGCCUGCAAGGGAAACUGCCGUGCUUGAGUGUGGGAGAGGUGAGUGGAAUUCCCGGUGUAGCGGUGAAAUGCGUAGAUAUCAAGAGGAACACCUGAGGUGAAGACGGGUUGCUGGGCCGACACUGACGCUGAUGCGCGAAAGCCAGGGGAGCAAACGGG
rnacentral:rRNA from 1 species